UUAUUAUCUAUCAAACACUUUCCUCCACAUUAAUGCAGGUGUGCUUUGUCAAGCUGAGGGAGGAGAGAAACCUCCCGUGGAGCAGAAGGGCAAGCGUUCGCUUGAUGUUGAUUUUCAGUAUGAGUCCAGAUCGUGAAAGCGGGGCCUCACCAUCCUUCUGGCUUUUUGGGUUUCAAGCAGGAG
rfam:Scleropages formosus scaffold1043, whole genome shotgun sequence.